UACGUAGGGGGCAAGCGUUGUCCGGAUUUAUUGGGCGUAAAGAGCGUGUAGGCGGCCACACAGGUCAGCUGUGAAAACUCGAGGCUCAACCUCGAGACGUCGGUUGAAACCGUAUGGCUAGAGUCCGGAAGAGGAGAGUGGAAUUCCCGGUGUAGCGGUGAAAUGCGUAGAUAUCUGGAGGAACACCGGUGGCGAAGGCGGCAUCCUGGACCGGUAUUGACGCUGAGGCGCGAAGGCGUGGGGAGCGAACGGG
rnacentral:rRNA from 1 species